rnacentral:rRNA from 1 species
GAUGAACGCUGGCGGCGUGCCUAAUACAUGCAAGUCGAGCGAACAGAUGAGGAGCUUGCUCCUCUGACGUUAGCGGCGGACGGGUGAGUAACACGUGGAUAACCUACCUAUAAGACUGGGAUAACUUCGGGAAACCGGAGCUAAUACCGGAUAAUAUAUUGAACCGCAUGGUUCAAUAGUGAAAGACGGUUUUGCUGUCACUUAUAGAUGGAUCCGCGCCGCAUUAGCUAGUUGGUAAGGUAACGGCUUACCAAGGCAACGAUGCGUAGCCGACCUGAGAGGGUGAUCGGCCACACUGGAGCUGAGACACGGUCCAGACUCCUACGGGAGGCAGCAGUAGGGAAUCGUCCGCAAUGGGCGAAAGCCUGACGGAGCAACGCCGCGUGAGUGAUGAAGGUCUUCGGAUCGUAAAACUCUGUUAUUAGGGAAGAACAAAUGUGUAAGUAACUAUGCACGUCUUGACGGUACCUAAUCAGAAAGCCACGGCUAACUACGUG